rnacentral:misc_RNA from 1 species
GAUGAAGAACGCAGCGAAAUGCGAUAAGUAGUGUGAAUUGCAGAAUUCAGUGAAUCAUCGAAUCUUUGAACGCACAUUGCGCCUUCCUGGAUUUUUCCGGGAGGCAUGCCUGUCCGAGCGUCAUAAAAACCACUUCAAGCCUGCUUUGUUGUCUGUCCCUCUUAGGGAUAUUCAUCUUGCCCAGUGUCUUGGUCGAUGAGGGAUGAGCGCAUCAGUGUGUGCUGCUCCCCCUCGAAUUCCAGUGGCGGGACGAUCUUUGAAAAGUUUCAGCCGGUGUAGUAAAAAUCUUUUUUCUCUCGCCGCCGUUCGAAUUCGAAUGAAAAACAUGAAACAGCACACAGAUUGUUGUCCCUGCCAACUUUAACCCCCCAAAAAUCAUAAUGUUUUGACCUCGGAUCAGGUAGGGAUACCCGCUGAACUUAAGCAUAUCAAUAAGCGGAGGA